GACGAACUGCCCAAACGUUGUUCGGAAUCACUGGGCUUAAAGGGCGCGUAGGCGGCGAAUCAAGUCAGGGGUGAAAUCCGGCAGCUCAACUGUCGAAGUGCCUUUGAUACUGAUUUGCUCGAGGGAGGUAGGGGUGCGCGGAACUUCUGGUGGAGCGGUGAAAUGCGUUGAUAUCAGAAGGAACGCCGGUGGCGAAAGCGGCGCACUGGACCUCUUCUGACGCUGAGGCGCGAAAGCUAGGGGAGCAAACGGG
rnacentral:rRNA from 1 species